UACGUAGGGGGCAAGCGUUGUCCGGAAUCAUUGGGCGUAAAGAGCGUGUAGGCGGCCCGGUAAGUCCGCUGUGAAAGUCCAGGGCUCAACCCUGGGAUGCCGGUGGGUACUGUCGGGCUCGAGUCCGGAAGAGGAGUGUGGAAUUCCUGGUGUAGCGGUGAAAUGCGCAGAUAUCAGGAGGAACACCAAUGGCGAAGGCAGCACUCUGGGACGUGACUGACGCUGAGACGCGAAAGCGUGGGGAGCAAACAGG
rnacentral:rRNA from 1 species